rfam:Photobacterium sp. 13-12 scaffold20, whole genome shotgun sequence.
ACGACCGUAGCUCAGCUGGUUAGAGCACCACCUUGACAUGGUGGGGGUCGGUGGUUCGAGUCCACUCGGUCGUA